GAGUUUGAUCCUGGCUCAGGAUGAACGCUGGCGGCGUGCUUAACACAUGCAAGUCGAACGGUUAAAGCCAUGCUUCGGCAUGGUGUAUAAAGUGGCGAACGGGUGAGUAACACGUGGGCAACCUGCCCCAUACUCCGGGAUAACCUCCAGAAAUGGUGGCUAAUACCGGAUAUCAACACGACCGAGGCAUCUCGAUCGUGGAAAAGCUUUAUGCGGUAUGGGAUGGGCCCGCGGUCCAUUAGCUAGUCGGUGGGGUAACGGCCUACCGAGGCGAUGAUGGAUAGCCGGGUUGAGAGACCGACCGGCCACAUUGGGACUGAGACACGGCCCAGACUCCUACGGGAGGCAGCAGUGGGGAAUUUUGCGCAAUGGGGGAAACCCUGACGCAGCAACGCCGCGUGCGGGAUGAAGGCCUUCGGGUUGUAAACCGCUUUCAGUAGGGAAGAAAUCAGACGGUACCUACACAAGAAGCUCCGGCUAACUACGUGCCAGCAGCCGCGGUAAUACGUAGGGAGCAAGCGUUAUCCGGAUUCAUUGGGCGUAAAGCGCGCGUAGGCGGCUUGUUAAGUCGGGUGUUAAAACGUGGGGCUCAACCCUGCGGCGCAUCCGAUACUGGCAAGCUUGAGUCCGGUAGGGGAGAGUGGAAUUCCCACUGUAGCGGUGGAAUGCGCAGAUAUUGGGAAGAACACCGGUGGCGAAGGCGGCUCUCUGGGCCGUAACUGACGCUGAGGCGCGAAAGCUGGGGGAGCGAACAGGAUUAGAUACCCUGGUAGUCCCAGCCGUAAACGAUGGACACUAGGUGUGGGGGGAUGAACCUUCCGUGCCGUAGCUAACGCAAUAAGUGUCCCGCCUGGGGAGUACGGUCGCAAGACUAAAACUCAAAGGAAUUGACGGGGGCCCGCACAAGCAGCGGAGCAUGUGGCUUAAUUCGAAGCAACGCGAAGAACCUUACCAGGGCUUGACAUGGUAGUGAAGCGGCGGAAACACCGUGGCCGAAAGGAGCUACCACAGGUGGUGCAUGGCUGUCGUCAGCUCGUGUCGUGAGAUGUUGGGCUAAGUCCCGCAACGAGCGCAACCCUUGUCGUAUGUUGCCAGCACGUAAUGGUGGGAACUCAUGCGAGACCGCCGGCGUCAAGCCGGAGGAAGGUGGGGACGACGUCAAGUCAUCAUGCCCUUUAUGUCCUGGGCUGCACACGUGCUACAAUGACCGGCACAACGGGCUGCGAACCUGCGAAGGUAAGCGAAUCCCUUAAAACCGGUCCCAGUUCGGAUCGGAGGCUGCAACUCGCCUCCGUGAAGUCGGAGUUGCUAGUAAUCGCGGAUCAGCAUGCCGCAGGAAUUGUGUCCCGGGCCUGUACACACCGCCCGUCAAGGACGAUUCGCGGCCGCUAAUUCAUCGCC
rnacentral:rRNA from 1 species